rnacentral:rRNA from 1 species
GAGCACUGUUUCGGCAAGGGGGUCAUCCCGACUUACCAACCCGAUGCAAACUGCGAAUACCGGAGAAUGUUAUCACGGGAGACACACGGCGGGUGCUAACGUCCGUCGUGAAGAGGGAAACAACCCAGACCGCCAGCUAAGGUCCCAAAGUCAUGGUUAAGUGGGAAACGAUGUGGGAAGGCCCAGACAGCCAGGAUGUUGGCUUAGAAGCAGCCAUCAUUUAAAGAAAGCGUAAUAGCUCACUGGUCGAGUCGGCCUGCGCGGAAGAUGUAACGGGGCUAAACCAUGCACCGAAGCUGCGGCAGCGACGCUGAUGCGUUGUUGGGUAGGGGAGCGUUCUGUAAGCCUGUGAAGGUGUGCUGUGAGGCAUGCUGGAGGUAUCAGAAGUGCGAAUGCUGACAUAAGUAACGAUAAAGCGGGUGAAAAGCCCGCUCGCCGGAAGACCAAGGGUUCCUGUCCAACGUUAAUCGGGGCAGGGUGAGUCGACCCCUAAGGCGAGGCCGAAAGGCGUAGUCGAUGGGAAACAGGUUAAUAUUCCUGUACUUGGUGUUACUGCGAAGGGGGGACGGAGAAGGCUAUGUUGGCCGGGCGACGGUUGUCCCGGUUUAAGCGUGUAGGCUGGUUUUCCAGGCAAAUCCGGAAAACUAAGGCUGAGGCGUGAUGACGAGGCACUACGGUGCUGAAGCAACAAAUGCCCUGCUUCCAGGAAAAGCCUCUAAGCAUCAGGUAACAUCAAAUCGUACCCCAAACCGACACAGGUGGUCAGGUAGAGAAUACCAAGGCGCUUGAGAGAACUCGGGUGAAGGAACUAGGCAAAAUGGUGCCGUAACUUCGGGAGAAGGCACGCUGAUAUGUAGGUGAAGUCCCUCGCGGAUGGAGCUGAAAUCAGUCGAAGAUACCAGCUGGCUGCAACUGUUUAUUAAAAACACAGCACUGUGCAAACACGA